UUGGCACAAGCUGGAGUCCCACUCACCACCUCUGUGUCCAGGCUGGUCUCUCCCAUAGCCCAGGCUAGACCUUCCCUCCCGAACCGUGGCCCCAGCCAGGCACCCCCCCCCGGUGACCCUGGCGUGGGCCCCCUUCCUCCCCCGGUCUAGGGCUAGGUCUGCUUUCCCCCGUCUCUCCCGCCCAGGCUAGGCCGUCGUUUCUCCCUGCCAUGGCCCAGGCUAGGCCGCUGCCUCCCUCCCUCCCUUGCCUUCUCCAUGGCCUCAGGCUGGACCCCGGUCAGCCCUUCCUGCAGCGGUCUAGGUUUGCUUCCCCUCUUCUCCGUGGCCUCAGCCUGAAUCUCCUCAUCCCUCUGUGAUCUUAAAUCUGGACCUCCUCUCCUCCGCCCAUGGCCCCGCCUGGACCUCACUGCCCCCUCCCCACCGUGAUCCCCUUCCCUGGACUUCUCGCCACUCCUAGCGUAACCUGCGUCAGCCCCGCUCGGUCUCCGCCCUGACCCUCUCAUCAGGGUUCUGCCCCCUGCCCCGUGCACGACCCAGGGUACCCUUCCCUGUACCUGGGGCGCGCCUUCUUUGCAGCCUUCGGGAAGCGAGGGGAACUCUCCAGCAGGGAUGGGGUGGUCCCGGUGCUGUGCCUUCUCAGUUGCCCCUUCUAGGGAGGCCGCUUGGGAGCCAGCGAGGGAAAGGCGGGCAUCGGUGUGCUCAGAAGGCAGCGCGCUGCGCUGCGGGUCCUUCUCGAGGUCGCCGCCGUGGGUGCUGUGCUUGCGAAGCGUCCUGCAGGGCGGGCCGGGGUCCGCGGCGCCCAGGCCUGAGUGGGAGCUGAGGGCUGAGGGUGGGUGGCCCACAGGACAAGGAUGAACGCACAAUCGCCCUUGUGAGGCCAUGGCCUUGGGGGGCCAGCAGGCCCAGGAUCCAGCAUAUGGCCUGGACACCAUGCACCCGAGCAGGCGCAGCCUCCCCUUCCCUCUGAACUGUCAGCUUGUAAGGGUUGGAACUGCUGAUUAUGGAAGUCCCUCGGAUCAGAGUGAUCAGCAGCUGGACUGUGCCUUGGACCUAAUGAGGCGCCUGCCUCCCCAGCAAAUCGAGAAAAACCUCAGCGACCUGAUCGACCUGGUCCCCAGUCUAUGUGAGGAUCUCCUGUCUUCUGUUGACCAGCCACUGAAAAUUGCCAGAGACAAGGUGGUGGGAAAGGAUUACCUUUUGUGUGACUACAACAGAGAUGGGGACUCCUAUAGGUCACCAUGGAGUAACAAGUAUGACCCUCCCUUGGAGGAUGGGGCCAUGCCGUCGGCUCGGCUGAGAAAGCUGGAGGUGGAAGCCAACAAUGCCUUUGACCAGUAUCGAGACCUGUAUUUUGAAGGCGGCGUCUCAUCUGUCUACCUCUGGGAUCUGGAUCAUGGCUUUGCUGGAGUGAUCCUCAUAAAGAAGGCUGGAGAUGGAUCAAAGAAGAUCAAAGGCUGCUGGGAUUCCAUCCACGUGGUAGAAGUGCAGGAGAAAUCCAGCGGCCGCACUGCCCAUUACAAGUUGACCUCCACGGUGAUGCUGUGGCUGCAGACCAACAAAUCCGGCUCUGGCACCAUGAACCUCGGAGGCAGCCUUACCAGACAGAUGGAGAAAGAUGAAACUGUGGGUGACUGCUCCCCACACAUAGCCAACAUCGGGCGCCUGGUAGAGGUGAGUGGCCGGGGCUCUGGCUGGCUCCUGUGUUGGCCCACGGCAGUGACACUGCACCCCCGGCACCGCUGUGCUGGCCUCCUUCUCUGCUGCUUUCUCCCAGCUCCACAGCAGCCGGCAGAGCGCUGCUUGGAUUUUGCCCUGGCCUCAUAUUUUCGGAGCCUCUGAUUUGGAUGCCAGCAGGCUGUGGCUUCAGGGCCACCUCCUGCUCCCCCCCCGACCCGGGCUCCCAGAAGACUCUGCUCAGGCGCUGGCUCUGGGGCGCACUAGGUCUUGUCUCCCCUGAUCGCCUGGGUGUGAACAGGGCCCUGCGCUGGGAGAGGAAGCAGAUGCCAGAAAUGCCAGUGGGCCCUGGAGUGGCUUCAGUUGCGGCUGCCUUGGCCCUCCUGUCACCACGUUGUUUGGGAAGGCAGGGAGGUGCUCUCCGGUUUCACAGAAUUGUUCACAAAAUUAGUGGGGAGUCUGAGGGGCAGUGAUGUGGUUUAGACCAGCUCCCAGGCAUGGGCAGAGUUGGCCGCCAAUACCUGGGUACUGGCUUCCUCCCUUCCUGAGGACGGGAAGGCGCCUGGAGCACAGAUGGCAGGUGGGGUCUUGGCAGCCUGGAGCCCGCUCACCCGUGCCCCAGAGCAGGUGUGUGCUGCCCUCCAGUGGCCAUAGUGGGGACUGCAGGGCUGGCGGGUGGAGAGAGGGCGUUGGCCUCAGGGUUCCUGACCAUUUGCCAAGGCGCUGACCGACCUCCCUUCCAGGACAUGGAAAAUAAAAUCAGAAGUACGCUGAAUGAGAUCUACUUUGGAAAAACAAAGGAUAUCGUCAAUGGGCUGAGGUCUGUGCAGACUUUUGCAGACAAAUCAAAACAAGAAGCUCUGAAGAAUGACCUGGUGGAGGCUUUGAAGAGAAAGCAGCAAUGCUAAACCUCUGCUUCAUGCUAACCAGACACGCCGUGCACUCGUUAGAUUCCUUUCUUAGAAAACUCGUUUUCUGCUCCCUCCCCUCGUCCCUUCCCUCCCCGACAGGUCACAUAACAGCUGCAUCAUUGACUGCACAGCGCCAUCUCUCCCUGAGAAUAAAGCCGAUAGCCACCCUCCUCCGGCUCCGAGCCUGCUUCCGCCACACCUCGCUCUCAGCUCUCUCCACAUUUCCAUAGAGACCAUGUGGUUUUUGUUCACCCGGGCCCCCUGUCUUCCUCCCCGUCCCCCCAUUUAUAGGCAUAAAAUCCACUGUCUGCCAGCCUUCCUUCCCUCCCACCUUUUUGUUACAUUGGUGUAAAAAAUGUAAAACAAAAAAAUUUUAUGAACUAACUGUGGUGUGUGAAAGAGAGAAGAAAAACUGGAAAUCUUAUUCCGUGUGUGUUUGGGAGUUGCUUGGGGUUGGGGGUCGUGGGGACAGGGGACAGCUCUGGGAGCAGAGGUGGCCCUCGGUGCCGUCCUGCGGAGACUCGCCCGUCCCACGGAGGCCGUGGGGUGGGGGCUGGGGGGGGCCGCCGACAGUUCCGCUCUUCCGGCCAGGUGCUUUUCUGUCAAUUUCUAUGGAAUGCAAAAGGAGGUUUUUGUUUUAUUUUGUUUUUUUGUAAAGCUUAAGAAAAAAAAUCUACAUCUUAUACUUGAGCCUCCAUACUUAAAAAAAAAAAAAAAAA